AUUCCAGCUCCAAUAGCGUAUACUAAAGUUGUUGCAGUUAAAAAGCUCGUAGUUGAAUUUCUGGUCGUGGCGAUCGGUCCGCCCCUCACGGGGUGUGCACCUGGUCUCUACGUCCAUCCUCGGGGAGAGCACGUCUGGCAUUCAGUUGUCGGGUGUGGGAUCCUCGUCAUUUACUGUGAGCAAAAUAGAGUGUUCAAAGCAGGCUUAGGCCGUUGAAUACAUUAGCAUGGAAUAAUAAGAUAGGACCUUGGUCUAUUUUGUUGGUUUGCAUUCCAAGGUAAUGAUUAAUAGGGAUAGUUGGGGGUAUUCGUAUUCAAUUGUCAGAGGUGAAAUUCUUGGAUUUAUGGAAGACGAACUACUGCGAAAGCAUUUACCAAGGAUGUUUUCAUCA
rnacentral:rRNA from 1 species